rnacentral:rRNA from 1 species
GUCUUGUUGAUAAUUAUAAUAAGUCUGUCCUGCCCGGUGAUAAAUAAUUUAACGGCCGCAGUAUAUUGACUGUGCAAAGGUAGCAUAAUCAUUAGUCUUUUAAUAGGAGGCUGGAAUGAAAGGGUUGACGAGAUAUCAGCUGUCUCACUUUUAUUAUUUGAAUUUAAAUUUUAGGUUAAAAUGCCUAACUGUUUUUGGAAGACGAGAAGACCCUAUAGAGCUUUAUUGAUUUUUAUUAAUUUUUAAUUUAUAAAUUAUAUUAAUUUAAAUUUUUUUUGUUGGGGUGAUGGUAAAUAAAUAUUUAACUUUUAUUAUUUUUUUUACAUUUAUUUAUGAAUAAUUAGAUCCUUUUUAGAUUGUUAGAAUAAGUUACCUUAGGGAUAACAGCGUAAUUUUUCUUGUGAGUUCUUAUUUUCGGAAAAGAUUGCGACCUCGAUGUUGGAUUAAGAUUAUAAUUGGGUGCAGUAGCUUGAUUUAUAGGUCUGUUCGACCUUUAAUUUCUUACAUGAUCUGAGUUCAGACCGG